rnacentral:rRNA from 1 species
GACAGAGGGGGCAAGCGUUGCUCGGAAUUACUGGGCGUAAAGGGCGCGUAGGCGGGAUGGCAAGUCGGUCGUGAAAUCCCUCGGCUCAACCGAGGAACGUCGAUCGAUACUGCUGUUCUUGAGGAUUGCAGAGGAGACUGGAAUUCCCGGUGUAGCGGUGAAAUGUGUAGAGAUCGGGAGGAACACCGGUGGCGAAGGCGGGUCUCUGGGCAAUUCCUGACGCUGAGGCGCGAAAAGCGUGGGGGAGCAAACGGG